UCAGAAUUCCAAAAUUUCGCUCACCCUACUCUUCCGUGGUUCUCUCAUCCAUCCUUUCACCAUAAAAAAAACCCUCAUCCUCACCAAUUCCUCUAAAUUCCUUGAUCAAAUACCACAUGCAAGAAAUUAAAGUUAGGUAAUUCAUUCUAAGAUUGAGGAGGCUGAGAUAAUGAAGAUUCAAGGAGUAUUAUGGAGAGAAGAGUGAAGAAGAAAUUAGGGCUUCAAGGAAUUUAGAAGAUCUCGGAAAGCUAGAGAUUUAAGGAGAAUCAUGAGCAAUGGAAGUAGGAGUAGCAUCAUCAAAGAAGAUUAGAGGUUGGAGGUUUCGCGGAGUGUCAACUUAGUUGGGAUGUCGUUGUUUCCUUUUGAUAUUUGUCCUGACUCCUGGCAUACCUUAAAACAAUUAUAUUAAUUAUUAUCUACUCUCCGCUAGGGUUACUAGCAGGAGUGUCGUUCUCCAACCUUUAACUUGAUUCAUGCUUCCAUUGUGGUAAUCAAGACCAAACAUUAAUCAAUUGAGUGCUACCUUUUUCAAUUGGUGGCUUACAAUUAAAUUCUUGGAAUCCAACCCAAUUGAGUAACCGUUCUGUCAUUGAUUAAUGAAAUCUUGCUUCUCGUACGUGUUGUUAUUUGGAGGUUGUGAUUUCCAUUUGGUGCAUUUUCAUACAAUUCUCCACCGUGAUUCAUUUUACCACACAUAACCUUCACGUGCCUUUGCUAGGCUUACGCUUCUAAUCAUCUUCUUCCUUCUUUCCACCCUUUCUCCACCCGGCCCAUGGCUAUUCCAGCUGCUGACGUGCCUUUCGAAUGGCAGGCAGAGCUUUCAGCCACAUCGGCCUUCUCAUCAUCCGUGCAGUUUCAUAACUAUUCCACACCUGCGAUCACAAAAGUAUCAUUCGCAGAUAAGGAUUUUUCGAAACAGACUGAACCAAGUACAAAUGAAGGUUACUUUUGCGUAGGCUUUGAGUUGCUCAGUAACGACAAUUGAUGAGCUGUUACCAGUUCCAAUCAUCAAAGGUGAUUCUCUCAGUAUUAAGAUUACACGGGCAAAUAUGAAAAGGGAAUUGAUGAAUGUAAGCGGCUCCUACAUGGCAGUCUAGUUAUGAGUAAGGGAGAUAAGUUGUAUACUACCGAAGAUUUAUAUUUGAAACUCUCGGAACUGUGGAAACACUCGGGACAAUGGAAAUUGGUAUCAUUUGGGAGAGGUUUUUAUGAAUUUAAGUUCUCCACUUUAGAGGAUAUGCGCAAUGCUUGGCUCUAGGUAAUAUUGGAGGGAAAAGACAAUGCACAAGAUAGCCGGAGCGAUUGGAACUCCUUUGAUCAUUGAUUCCACAAAUUAAUACCAUCGUGGUGGGCACUAUGUGAGGAUUCUCGUUGACAUAGAUCUUUCUAAAUGUAACUCCGAUCGAAAACCUUACAAGAAAAACAUAUUUGAAUAAUGAAACAAUCAACAUGGUUGAAUUUUAGUAGAUGGUGCAUCAUUAAAUGUAA